rnacentral:rRNA from 1 species
AUUGAACGCUGGCGGCAUGCUUUACACAUGCAAGUCGAACGGUAACAGGCCGCAAGGUGCUGACGAGUGGCGAACGGGUGAGUAAUGCAUCGGAACGUGUCCCGUCGUGGGGGAUAACUACUCGCAAGAGUAGCUAAUACCGCAUACGAUCUAUGGUUGAGAGCGGGGGACCGUAAGGCCUCGCGCGAUUGGAGCGGCCGAUGUCAGAUUAGGUAGUUGGUGGGGUAAAGGCUCACCAAGCCAACGAUCUGUAGCUGGUCUGAGAGGACGACCCGCCACACUGGGACUGAGACACGGCCCAGACUCCUACGGGAGGCAGCAGUGGGGAAUUUUGGACAAUGGGCGCAAGCCUGAUCCAGCAAUGCCGCGUGCAGGAAGAAGGCCUUCGGGUUGUAAACUGCUGUUGUACGGAACGAAACGGCUCUGGUUAAUACCCGGGGCUAAUGACGGUACCGUAAGAAUAAGCACCGGCUAACUACGUG